rnacentral:rRNA from 1 species
UGAGGAAUAUUGCCCAAUGGACGCAAGUCUGAGGCAGCAACGCCGCGUGGGCGAUGAAGGCCUUCGGGUUGUAAAGCCCUUUUCUGGGGGACGAGGAAGGACGGUACCUCAGGAAUAAGUCACGGCUAACUACGUGCCAGCAGCCGCGGUAAUACGUAGGUGGCGAGCGUUAUCCGGAUUCACUGGGCGUAAAGCGCGUGCAGGCGGUUUCGUAAGUCGGACGUGAAAGCUCCUGGCUUAACUGGGAGAGGUCGUUCGAUACUGCGGGGCUUGAGGUCGGGAGAGGGACGUGGAAUUCCCGGUGUAGUGGUGGAAUGCGUAGAUAUCGGGAGGAACACCAGUGGCGAAGGCGACGUCCUGGCCCGCACCUGACGCUGAGACGCGAAAGCAUGGGUAGCAAACGGGAUUAGAUACCCCGGUAGUCCACGCUGUAAACGGUGGGUACUAGGUGUUGGUGGCUAUCGUCAUCAGUGCCGCAGCUAACGCGUUAAGUACCCAG